GUAUUAUCGGAAAAGAGAAGGUUAGCACUACCCUUAGCAGGAAUGCAACAGGCCUUCAGGCCUGACAACAUGCAUGCGGUUAAGGUACUGCUAUCUACUUCAUGGCAUCUAACCAUCACUUUUU
ensembl:snRNA